CAGUACGCAUUUAACAAAUACCCUAAGAAACAAACUGAGGGGAAAAAAAAAAAACCUUUCCUCAAGCACUGAGUACUUCCUUUUUCAGCCCAAUAUAGGUCACCGCCCAGAUUAAUCUGGAGGGACCACAUCAAUCGAUGGUAUUUAUCGAGCGCUUACCGUGUGCUUGGGAGAGUUCAAUUUAACAACAGUCAGCAAGCACAUUCCGUGCCCGAGGGUUUACAGUCGAGAGAGGAAGUACAAAGUCAUACGAUGGGAGACCAAGUCAACCCCCGGAAUCAGUCUUACGGGGCUUUUCUGGGGGUUGGUUGGACAGACGGGGAUGGCGAGGGGGGCGAUUUAAAGGUCUACAGCGUGACAUCCAGUCGUUCGGUUUUUCAAACCUCCCGCCCUACCCAGCGCCGGUGGAGGUGGAUAUUUUUUCAGCUCUGCUGUGCAACUGUAAGUUAUUUUCUCCACUAAACAUUCAAAGGUAGGCUGGCGCCUUCCUGAUCGCCAGAGGCUCUGCAAGUGAGUGGAAAACGUAACGGCCAGCACUUCGCUCUAGCCUCGGUCAAGACGAGAGCCGGAGCCGGCGUGACCCAGUGGGACAGAAGCGGGAGCACCUCGAGAUUGGCCGGCGAGGAGCGCGGGACUGGGGACUCCAGGUUUGCAGGGAUCGUUCUUAACUGCAUCUCUCCUCACACUUUCCCGGGCUCCCAGUGCCGUCACGGGCACUGCGGGCAUUCAUCAGUUACUGCCGCUGAAGAAAACCAACUCUGCCGUUCUAUCAGCUAAGAAAACGGAGCAAAGGACCCGGGACAACCGCUGCAAAAAGUCAGAAGAGGAGGGAACUGAGGCCCAGAGAAGUGAAGUGACUCGC